rnacentral:rRNA from 1 species
UACGAAGGGGGCUAGCGUUGUUCGGAAUUACUGGGCGUAAAGCGUGCGCAGGCGGCUUCUCAAGUCAGGGGUGAAAGCCCAGAGCUCAACUCUGGAAUUGCCUUUGAGACUGAGUGGCUUGAGUACGGGAGAGGUGAGUGGAAUUCCCAGUGUAGAGGUGAAAUUCGUAGAUAUUGGGAAGAACACCGGUGGCGAAGGCGGCUCACUGGCCCGGUACUGACGCUGAGGUGCGAAAGCGUGGGGAGCAAACAGG